AACCCACUUUGGUAAUUGUAUAUAUCAUCGAUGAACGUCAACCGUCCAAGUGGAUUACAGAAUCUCCAGCAAAUUUAUCGCGGAAUCCCAAUGCAGAUGGAUAAAUUCGGUAACGGGCCUACUUCCAUAUAAACAGAGUCAAACUACCCUCGUCCCCCGGCUCCAUCUGCAAUGUGCAAACUACCAGUCCACCACCCACUCUCGCUGUUUCCCAAAGCCCAGUCAUUCACUUACAUAUUCACGGUACCUAACUCCCUCAUCGCUCAUCGCCAACUUUUCUAAGUAGUAAGUAGUUUUCUUCGUCGUCUGGACAGAAACGGGAUGUCGCAGAAGACUAAUCGCCACCAGAGAAAGCCUUCUCAGGGCGCUUUUGUGUUCCCGGACGACCUGUCGGAUCCUCUUCCAAAGAACGAUGCCGGAGGAAGCAAAGCUGCUCCUGCUCCCGCUCCCGCUCCUCCAGGUUCAACUGCAGGUGUCGCUCAUCCACCGCUGACGGUUGAUAAAAGUGGCGCUCCCGGCCUACCACCGCCGCCUGCCAAGUCUUUGGAGGAAAUGUCAACUCAUAACCCUCGCGAAUCCAAGGCAUCCAAUGUUUCUAGAAUCGAGUAAAAAUCUACUCAUGAUGUUGGUAUACAUUUUAUAUGCGGGAAAAACUAGCUGGAUAUGGAUGGUUGGAUGUCUUUCUACUUCUUCUUUCUUGCUGUUGAAACUUAAAACUACGAACUAACGAGCUUUUUGUUUCAUUUAUGUCGACAAAUUAGUACUCCUCUUUAUUUUUCGCUGUCAUGAAAUGAAGAGCUUAUAGAUCCUUUGCAAUUCAUGGUUUUAGUAUUAAUCUUGGCUAUUUAAUUAAACCACAGUAACGAAGUGUGAUUACACAUGGGCCGGUCCAGUUAUAUCACUUUCAAAGCGGGCGACUGACUGCGGAAUACUUGUCAUUUACAUCAUCACGUUUCAUUUAUGGCGCUAAAC
rnacentral:lncRNA from 1 species